rnacentral:rRNA from 1 species
AGAACGAACGCUGGCGGCAGGCUUAACACAUGCAAGUCGAGCGCCCACUUCGGUGGGAGCGGCAGACGGGUGAGUAACGCGUGGGAAUCUACCCAUCUCUACGGAACAACUCCGGGAAACUGGAGCUAAUACCGUAUACGCCCCCCUUUAGAGAUAUUGGGCGGGGAAAGAUUUAUCGGGGAUGGAUGAGCCCGCGUUGGAUUAGCUAGUUGGUGGGGUAAAGGCCUACCAAGGCGACGAUCCAUAGCUGGUCUGAGAGGAUGAU